UACGAAGGGGGCGAGCGUUGUUCGGAUUUACUGGGCGUAAAGGGCGCGCAGGCGGCCGGCCAAGUCAGGCGUGAAAGCCCCGGGCUUAACCUGGGAAUUGCGUCUGGGACUGGUUGGCUAGAGAUCGGGAGAGGAGAGUGGAAUUCCCAGUGUAGAGGUGAAAUUCGUAGAUAUUAGGAAGAACACCGGUGGCGAAGGCGGCCCACUGGAUCGGUACUGACGCUGAGGUGCGAAAGCGUGGGGAGCAAACAGG
rnacentral:rRNA from 1 species